GCACACCCUCAUGCCGCGCGGCGAACGUUCGUUGCCAGGUGCGGCAGCCCGCCCUGGGCGCCUCCUGCCUGCGGAAGAAGAGCAGGACAGACCCGACCCGACCCGCCUAGUCCUUUCCUUCACAGCAGCCUCCAAACUCCACCGCUCGCCUCUUCCGCCAGGCUCCUAGGAUGAGGCCCAGGGCUCCUGGAGCAGCCAGGUGCAAACCAGACCGGGCUCGCACUCCACUGCGUUGCCCUGGGCGAUCGUCCACGUUCUGGGAGACUCGGUAUGCCCCGGGAGGGUGGCCUGAGCUUGUGGUGUGAAGCCAGGUACAGAGCUCCAGAAUCCUGGCCUUGCCAUGGCUGUGUGACCCUGGGCAAGUGACUCAAUUUCUCUGCCUCAGUGUCCUCAUCUAUAAAAUGGAAAGGAAAAUAGUAGCGCUUGUCUCCUCCGGCUGUUAUGAAGAUCCAAGGUUAACAGCGUAGAGAACUCGGAACGCACCCGGCAUCUAGGAAGUGCCAAGCCAGUGUCAGCUAAUGUGACUAUUUUUAAAUGGAGAUGGGGAGUGUGCCAUUAUUCUUGUCCUUAUUUGAAUGAACGGGCCCUCAGGGACCAUUUUCCACUGCCCCGCCCUGGCAGCAUGAGAGGGAAACGCUGUGAGAACCCCGAACCCCAGCCUUCUCCUGUCCCUCUCUCUCUCUCUCUCUCUCUGCACCUGGGAGGCGGGGAGGAGAGAGCCGAUCCUUCCACCAUUUACACGGAGAAUGAAAGAAGAAAUACCGGCCAGGCGCGGUGGCUCAUGCCUGUAAUCCCAGCACUUUGGGAGGCCGAGGGGGCAGAUCACCUGAGGUCAGGAGUUCGAGACCAGCCUGGCCAACAUGGCGAAACUCCGUCUCUACUAAAAGUACAAAAAUUAGCCUGGCGUGGUGCCGGGUGCCUAUAAUCCCAGCUACUCAGGAGGCUGAGGCAGGAGAAUCCCUUGAACCCGGGAGGCGGAGGUUGCAGUGAGCCGAGAUCACGCCACUGCACUCCAGCCUGGGUGACAAGAAUGAGUCUCAAAAAAACAAAAAAGAAGAAGAAGAAGAAAUACCACACAGGUCCGACCAAGAGCUGCCCCCACUCAGGCCAGGAUCCCUGCCUGGAAGGGCUCUGCAGCCACUCUCCCUGUACAGCCCCAGGAUGCUAAGGAGCAUCCCGAAGUGACACUGGCUCUCCCUGGAGGCCCCUGCCAUCGGACUCCAACCUGACCUUCCAGUGGGUGCUCCUCAUACUGGCUCCAGCCAAGACAGACGAGGACCACUGGGCACAUGCCCUUCCUUGCCUUCCUGUCACCCUUCCCACCCUUCUCUGCGGGCCCCGGGUGGCCCCUUCCUCCAGGAAGCACCUGGGGAUCAGCAGUGCCUCUAGGGUCCCAGUGGCCCACGUGACAUCUGCUUCUGGCCACCUGAGCACUCUCCUUUGAGUUCAGGGUCACUGUACCCUUUUAUAGGUGAGCAAACGAAAGCUGAGGAAGAGGAGUGACUGGGUCUCCCACAUCCCUCUGCUUCAGCUAUGAGGUUCCCUCAUGAACUGCAGGAAUAGACGUCAAGCAAAAACUCCUCAGACGCCCUGUGCAUGUGUGGUCGCACAGGGCACAAAGACUGAAGCAAAGGGGCAGGUCCUAGCGUGGGGAGGGGACUCCAGGAUUGAAGUUUGAACCAAAAGGAGGCUUUGACUAAGCCACGAGCAGUGAAGCCGGCAGGAGAGGAAGCAAGUUCUAGCAGAGAAAUUCGCCGGGUAUGGUGGUGCAUGCCUAUGGUCCCAGCUACUCAGGAGGCUGAGGCAGGAGGAUCACUUGAGCCCGGGAGGUGAAGGCUGCGGGAAGAGUUUGUCUCGUCUAUCAGGCCACCAACAAGAGUUGUUGCAAUGCCUGUGGGAGGUGCAGCCCACGCUGGGCCACCUGGCCAGCUCAGGGAUCCUGCUGGAGAUCGAGGAUUGUCUGGUCGGCCUCUUACAACUCUCAGAACAUCAUCCCUGGGAGCAGCCCUGAAGAGACCAAGGGUCAGUGGCGGGGCUGCUGAGUGGCUGCCUCCCUGACCUGGCCAGCAUUUCCUGGGCACACUGCAGUGUGUCCACGUCCCUGGGUGUGCCUCAGCUCCAGUGUCUCAUCCCCAGAGACCUUCCCAGACCACCAUGUCUCAGACAGCCCCGGCUGCCUCCUGCCUGCCCUGCACCAGCCCUGAGCCAUCGCCUCAUUUUAUUCUCAUUCUAACUUGGAUAAUGGGAUCUGCCUCUUACCAACUGUGACCUUAGGCACAGGAUCAGCCCCAAAUUGAGCCUCAUUUUGUCCAUCUGUAAAAUGAGGAUGGCACUAGAGCCCCGUCUAGGGUGAAUGUGAAGGUCAGAGCCUGCACAAGUUGCUCAAUCAAGAAGAAGCUGCCAGGCACAGUGGCUUGUGCCUGUAACCCCAGAACUUUGAGAGGCUGAGCGGGGUGGAUCACCCAAAGUCAGGAGUUCAAGACCAGCCUGGCCAACAUGGUGAAAUGCCGUCUCUACUAAAAAUACAAAAAUUCGCUGGGUGUGGUGGUGGGUGCUUGUAAUCCUAGCUACUCAGGAGGCUGAGACAGGAGAAUCCCUUGAACCCAGAGGCAGAGGUUACAGUGAGCCGAGAUCGUGCCACUGCCCUCCAGCCUGGGCAACAAAGAGUGAAACUCUUGUCUAAAAAAAAAAAGAAGAAGAAGAAGGAGAAGGAGAAGGAGCGGGAGAAGGAGAAGAAGAAGAAGAAGAAGAAGCCUCAGUGAAGUGCUCCAGCAUCUUCACCCCCUUGGUCACUUGCUCAUCUCCUUGAUGAACAAAAGCGGCCCCAGAUCAGAGCCAUCGAGCACCUGCAGCCAGCAAGGUUGGCUGGUUUUCAUUGUGUGCAUUUUUAAGGCGUCUUCUAUUUAUAGAAAGGAUUGUGGUCUUGCAUUUGUAGCAGCGAUGAAAGCUUUACUUUUUGGCAAAAUGUGUGCAAGUUGUUUAGAAGUGAGUCUGUUUGAAAAAAAAAAUUAAAUGAAUAAUGAUUUAGGAGGUGAGUUUGUUUCCUAGGGCUGCUGUGAUGAAGUGCCA
rnacentral:lncRNA from 1 species